UAGGGCGGCCGUCGUCGCGCUGGUGUGGGUCUCGCCAUUGCAGCUCAGAGUCAUCUGUACAGGACUCUCCCCCAGCCCCAGUGAACGCUCAUGCAGAUAGCGAGCCGCCUCGCUAUUUCUUGCGAAGCCAUGCUCGGCAGGUCUCGCACGAGCAUGUUGCCGAGAAGCGAAAGCUGGAGGCCAGGGGGAAGAGCAGUGGCAAGAAGAGGCGCCUGUGGAGCCCCCCUGAGCAGGCCCAGCCCACGGAGGAUCCGGCGUCAGCCAGUCCCGGCCAGCAUUGCAGCCAGGGACUGCCUCACGGGCGGCCGUCGUCGCGCUGGUGUGGGCGUCGCCAUUACAGCCCAGAGUCAUCUGUACAGGACUCUCCGUAUGUAUUCUUUCAUAUUGUUUUUAAAUUAUUUUAUUUUGCAGUGAUGUUGCUUCACUUUUCAUGUGUUUGCUAGAGAUACCUGAACAUUCAAUGGUAUUCUAUAGUUUUUCUUUAUAGAAAUCUGUUAUCGAUAAUGCGUCAAGUGCUACAGCUCAUUUGCCAUCUAGCGCAAGGGCUGUGACAGAAGGCAGUGAUGUGACAGCUGUGCUGAAUGAUCGAUAGUGCUACAGCCUGCUCUAUUUCCACUAUUCUACACCAAACGGUGUGUUUUCAUAGUUUGAAAAUGAAACCACAGUCUCUCGAGGCUGAAGCAUACUUCUGAAAAGUUUUCUUCUGAAGAAAUAAAGUUUACCAUCAAUGACGAUAGUUAUAGCGCGAGAACAAAACGAC